rnacentral:rRNA from 1 species
GACGAACGCUGGCGGCGUGCCUAAUACAUGCAAGUUGAGCGAUGAAGAUUGGUGCUUGCACCAAUUUGAAGAGCAGCGAACGGGUGAGUAACGCGUGGGGAAUCUGCCUUUGAGCGGGGGACAACAUUUGGAAACGAAUGCUAAUACCGCAUAACAACUUUAAACAUAAGUUUUAAGUUUGAAAGAUGCAAUUGCAUCACUCAAAGAUGAUCCCGCGUUGUAUUAGCUAGUUGGUGAGGUAAAGGCUCACCAAGGCGAUGAUACAUAGCCGACCUGAGAGGGUGAUCGGCCACAUUGGGACUGAGACACAGCCCAAACUCCUACGGGAGGCAGCAGUAGGGAAUCUUCGGCAAUGGACGAAAGUCUGACCGAGCAACGCCGCGUGAGUGAAGAAGGUUUUCGGAUCGUAAAACUCUGUUGGUAGAGAAGAACGUUGGUGAGAGUGGAAAGCUCAUCAAGUGACGGUAACUACCCAGAAAGGGACGGCUAACUACGUG